rnacentral:lncRNA from 1 species
CAAUUUCAACAGUUUCUUCUACAGUUGGCUGCUCCUCCAUUCCAAUCGCCACGAUUAGUCCGUCUGUAAGACUGCAACUCAAGGCCCUGCAACCACUCCUAAAAUCUACCAGCGAUGGGCAAUGGCAGCAUCCUGUGGCGAUCUUGGGUUGGGGUCUUUUUCUAUUAUUGGACUCGUUGGUACUUGGUACUAUUUGGUAAGUCAUUUAUGAUUUAUCUUCCCCAAAUUCCAACCGACUGACGGCAAUAAUCAAGGCAUGAAUCCGAUUCUGAUGCUGUCAUUUUGCUUCCAUGCGUUCUGUAAGACUGUAUCAUCUAUCAAUUUGUUUUCUUGCAAUGUAUGAUAAUUGAUAUCCAAAAUCCGACCAACCGCAUAGUGGCAUUCUGCUUCUAUGCUUCAGCCUUUAGUUCAAUGCUUUUGUUAACUAUUAUCUAAUAUGUAUCAAUUUGUUUUCUUGCAAAGUUUUAGGUAUGAGAUUUAAAUUGAUUUCUUUGUCUAUUUGUUGAAUCUUGAUUCUUAAACUUGAAGACAUUGGACAUGUUUAAUUGAUUUCAAUUGGCGAAUGAAAUUCUUAAAUUCAUC